GUGGGGAAUAUUCCGCAAUGGACGAAAGUCUGACGGAGCAACGCCGCGUGAGGGAAGAAGGUUUUCGGAUCGUAAACCUCUGUCCUUAGUGAAGAGAAAGAGACGGUAGCUAAGGAGGAAGCCCCGGCUAACUACGUGCCAGCAGCCGCGGUAAUACGUAGGGGGCGAGCGUUGUCCGGAAUGAUUGGGCGUAAAGGGCGCGUAGGCGGCCUGUUAAGUCCGGAGUGAAAUUCCUGCUUUCAAGGUAGGAAGUGCUUUGGAAACUGGCGGGCUGGAGUGCAGGAGAGGUUAGCGGAAUUCCCGGUGUAGCGGUGAAAUGCGUAGAGAUCGGGAGGAACACCAGUGGCGAAGGCGGCUAACUGGACUGUAACUGACGCUGAGGCGCGAAAGUGUGGGGAGCAAACAGGAUUAGAAACCCCUGUAGUCC
rnacentral:rRNA from 1 species